rnacentral:tRNA from 1 species
UUUUCUUUAGUAUAAUUAGUAUAUUUAACUUCCAAUUAAAAGGUUUAACUUUAAAGAAAAA